rnacentral:rRNA from 1 species
CUGUGAUGGCGAGCGAAUUAUAGUAGCGAAGUUCCUGAUUCCACACUGCCAAGAAAAGCCUCUAGCGAGGUGAGAGGUGCCCGUACCGCAAACCGACACAGGUAGGCGAGGAGAGAAUCCUAAGGUGAUCGAGAGAACUCUCGUUAAGGAACUCGGCAAAAUGACCCCGUAACUUCGGGAGAAGGGGUGCUCUGUUAGGGUGCAAGCCCGAGAGAGCCGCAGUGAAUAGGCCCAGGCGACUGUUUAGCAAAAACACAGGUCUCUGCGAAGCCGUAAGGCGAAGUAUAGGGGCUGACGCCUGCCCGGUGCUGGAAGGUUAAGAGGAGCGCUUAGCGUACGCGAAGGUCGAAUUGAAGCCCCAGUAAACGGCGGCCGUAAC